rnacentral:rRNA from 1 species
AGGGCACUACCAGGAGUGGAUCCUGCGGCUCAAUUUGACUCAACACGGGAAAGCUCACCUGGUCCGGACACUGGAAGGAUUGACAGAUUAAGAGCUCUUUCUUGAUUCAGUGGGUGGUGGUGCAUGGCCGUUCUUAGUUGGUGGAGCGAUUUGUCUGGUUAAUUCCGAUAACGAACGAGACUCUAGCCUACUAAAUAGGUGUUCCGAUCCCAUCAGUCGGACGCUCUUCUUAGAGGGACAAGCGGCGUUUAGCCGCACGAGACGGAGCAAUAACAGGUCUGUGAUGCCCUUAGAUGUCCGGGGCCGCACGCGCGCUACACUGAAGGAACCAGCGUGUGUCCCUGUCCGGCAGGACUGGGUAAUCCGUUGAACCUCCUUCGUGAUAGGGAUAGGGGCUUGUAAUUGUUCCCCUUGAACGAGGAAUUCCCAGUAAGCGUGAAUCAUCAGUUCACGUUGAUUACGUCCCUGGCCUUUGUACACACCGCCCGUCGCUACUACUGAUUGGAUGAUUUAGUGAGG